rnacentral:rRNA from 1 species
GUGGGGAAUCUUCCGCAAUGGACGAAAGUCUGACGGAGCGACGCCGCGUGAGUGAAGAAGGCCUUCGGGUCGUAAAGCUCUGUCAUCAGGGACGAACGGCCGGUGGAGUGGAAAGCCACCGGAUUGACGGUACCUGAGAAGGAAGCCACGGCUAACUACGUGCCAGCAGCCGCGGUAAUACGUAGGUGGCAAGCGUUGUCCGGAAUUAUUGGGCGUAAAGCGCGCGCAGGUGGGAUCUUAAGUCCAUUUUGAAAGUUCGGAGCUCAACUCCGUGAUGGGAUGGAAACUGGGAUUCUUGAGUACCGGAGAGGAAAGCGGAAUUCCACGUGUAGCGGUGAAAUGCGUAGAUAUGGGGAGGAACACCAGUGGCGAAGGCGGCUUUCUGGACGGUGUCUGACACUGAGGCGCGAAAGCUAGGGGAGCGAACGGGAUUAGAUACCCGAGUAGUCC